rnacentral:rRNA from 1 species
GAACUGAAGAGUUUGAUCAUGGCUCAGAUUGAACGCUGGCGGCAGGCCUAACACAUGCAAGUCGAGCGGAUGAAGGGAGCUUGCUCCUGGAUUCAGCGGCGGACGGGUGAGUAAUGCCUAGGAAUCUGCCUGGUAGUGGGGGAUAACGUCCGGAAACGGGCGCUAAUACCGCAUACGUCCUGAGGGAGAAAGUGGGGGAUCUUCGGACCUCACGCUAUCAGAUGAGCCUAGGUCGGAUUAGCUAGUUGGUGG